rnacentral:rRNA from 1 species
UACCAGCACCCCGAGUGGUCGGGACGUUUAUUGGGCCUAAAGCAUCCGUAGCCGGUUCUACAAGUCUUCCGUUAAAUCCACCUGCUCAACAGAUGGGCUGCGGAAGAUACUAUGGAGCUAGGAGGCGGGAGAGGCAAGCGGUACUCGAUGGGUAGGGGUAAAAUCCGUUGAUCCAUUGAAGACCACCAGUGGCGAAGGCGGCUUGCCAGAACGCGCUUGACGGUGAGGGAUGAAAGCUGGGGGAGCAAACCGG